rfam:TPA: Bos taurus chromosome 17, whole genome shotgun sequence.
UCCCUAGUAGCCCAGACAGUAAGGAAUCUGCCUGCAAUGCAGGAAACCCGGGUUUGAUCCCUGAUUUGGGAA